ensembl:processed_transcript
UUUAAUAAACCAAGAUAUGUCACAAUAUUAAAGGUUUCUGUUUCUCAUCUCUUUUUCCUGGAUCUGAUGUCAUAAACUAGAAAAGCUGCAACAGCCACGCCCACGAGAGCAGAGCCGACCAAUCGGAUCACAGCUUCUGUCGGACCACAGCAGUGACCAGAGCCUGAGGACCAGAAACAUCAAACUGAGCUCAAAUCAGGAGUUGAUAAACUCCAGCAUGUUCAGUUGUGAUGUUCGUGAUGGUCAGAGAUGCAGUUUGAUCCACCUUCAGUCUGUUUCUGAAUCUCCCAUCAAGAACAUCUUCAUAUAUGGUGAUUCUGUUGUCCAUUACAUUGAUUUUAGUUAUUAAAGUGUUUUCAGCUCCAAACCUCCACUUAAUCAGUUCAUCCUCCAGCAGUUCAGUUAACCCAGUGUGUAAAGUCACUGAAUCUCCCUCCAACACUAACACUGACUCUCCCAACACACCUGAAAAACA